ACAUCGUGUACUGAUGGAUGUUUUCGAUCGAAGAAGGUUCGGAAAUGAUAUUGUCACAUGAAUAAAAUAGGUAAGUGAAAGAUAUAUGUGUAUUCUGGCUUUGUAAUUAAUUUUCGCGACUCGCAGAUUUGACCCGGAAGUAAAUUGUACGAUAGCGAAUUGUUUACAUGAAAUGGUGGCAGAUUUAAAUUUGACCUUUAAAUAGCAUGUCUCAAUUUAGUAACACCAGCACUAUUCGAUAUAAAAUUUGACAAGACCAGGACAUUUCGUUUUUAAAUGAUUUAUCUAAUGUAAAUGAGCUUUAUUUUGAACUUCUCAACCCGCUACUCAAGAUUUGUUUGAUGUGUUAGAAGAUGAUGAAAAUGUAAUAAACUACUCAUCAUUUACUUUUUAUUGUUGUCUGUAUACGUGUGUGUCAGUGUUCACAUGUGGAGGAUAUCAUUCUCGUCUAAUAUCAAUCUUUUAUCAUAAGACAGUAACCAUGCAUUAUCUAAAUGUAUCAAACCACCUAUUAAUUAAUAAGAAAAAAGGAACUAUUUGGGUAUCUCUAGUAAGUUAUUGUCGUUUAUUUAUUAUUAGUCUUCUGUUUCACAGCAAAGCAGGUGUUUUACCUCGCAGACGAAAGCCAGUCACAUGGUUAAGGUGUAAAUGCUGUGGUCAGCCAGGUUCACCACUACCUCAAAACAUACGGUCUUGGCGAACAGCAUGCUCACUUUCAGUGUGACAACUGUUGCGGCCAAAAUAAAAACUACGUAGUGAUCUGGUACCUUCUGUGGAGAGUUCUUGUUUACACAGAAACAUCACACUAAGCUUUAUAUCAGUAGGACAUACGAAGUUAACACCAGAUUGGCACUUUGGCAUCUGGAAUUCUAAGUGGAGAAACUUCAAUGCAGAAACAUUGUUUGAUGUCGCAGCGUCUCUGGGGUUAUCGUCAAGGACGGGCCACAACAUUCCCCAGCUUGCGGGGGACACUUCGAAUCCUGUUGUGUUUUACGAUUGGAAGGAUUAUCUUUCGACAUUGUUUCAACCCAUAAAGAAUGUCACCAAAUUUCUCCAAUUCCAUGUGUCAGCGGAAGAUCCGGGUGUUGUGGAGUGCAGGGAAUUUAGUGACUCACCAAUAGUCAGAAUCACUCUCAGGAAGGUCUCAAAAGUGAAUGUUAAUGUAAGCUGUGACGACCUGCCAUAAGACAUGUUUGCGAACGGGCUUGAUCUGGACUGUCAAGGGUACCAUUUGAACACAUUCGUGAAUUCUGUCGAACAGAUGAAGCCACAAACUUUACAUGUCCGAAACCGGCUACUGGUAAGCGACAAAAAACAGACUUUGCUUCCAAAAAACAGAAGAUGCAUUAAGAGGCACAUCUGAUCUUCUCUGAUUAUGCCACAACAGUUACAUACAUAAUGUAUCAGUGAUUAUUUUGGCCAAGGUAUUGGGUGAUAUAUUUUCCCCCAAACAGUGCAAAAAAUCCUCUAUUCUGAGGAAAGCUAAUACAUGUACAUGUAUAUGAGUGCUAAAUCUGUCAGUUGAUACAGGUUUUGAAGUGUUCAAUACAAUAGUUUUGUUCUAAUUGCACAACCUUGUUUUCAAGCUUUUUGAAUCUCAUUUUUACAAAACAAAAAUAAAUUUUUAAUGUUACUUUGCAAUUAUUUUCAACUUAUGGACACAGACUGCCUUUCCGAAAAACCGGAAAAAAUCAAUGUGAGAAUUUGUAUUUAUUAAUGUUUUACCAUGAAAAUCCUAUAAUUUUGUCUGUUUGCUUUAUUGUUUCCAUAGUAACAAAAACAAUUAAUUGACAUGUAUAAAGUAUUGUUUAUUUGGUCUGUUUUACA